AGAAUUUGAUCCUGGUUCAGGAUGAACGCUGGCGGCGUGGAUAAGGCAUGCAAGUCGAACGAACCCAGUAAGAUUACAUCAAGUUGGGUUAGUGGCAGACGAGUUAGUAACACGUAGGAACUUACCCCGAAGACGGACACAACCUGCCGAAAGGUGGGCUAAUAUCCGAUAGUCUCCGACCUCGCAAGAGCGUCGGAGUAAAGGUUGGCAACAGCCGCUUUGGGAGAGGCCUGCGGGCUAUCAGCUAGUUGGUGAGGUAAUAGCUCACCAAGGCUAUGACGGCUAGGGGGCGUGAGAGCGCGUUCCCCAACGAGGAAACUGAGACACGGUUCCUACUCCUACGGGAGGCAGCAGUCGAGAAUAUUCCGCAAUGGGCGAAAGCCUGACGGAGCGACGCCGCGUGGAGGAAGAAGGUCUUCGGAUCGUAAACUCCUUUUGGCAGGGAAGAAGGACCGUACCUCACUGCAUUCGGUAUGGAAUUUCUAAUUUUUAAUUUCUAAUUUUUAAUCAAUUUUUAAUGAUUUAAUUUUCAAACAUUAAGUCAUUCAAUCAUUUAUUGAAAAUUUAAAAUUUAAAAUUGAAAAUUCCGCCCGAGCGUAGCGAGGUGCGGUUCUGACGGUACCUGCAGAAUAAGGCGCUGCUAACCUCGUGCCAGCAGCCGCGGUAAUACGAGGGCGCCAAGCGUUAUCCGGAUUUAUUGGGCGUAAAGCGUCUGUAGGGGGUUAUGUUAGUUCAAUGUUAAAGCCCGCGACUCAAUCGCGGAAGUGCAUUGAAUACGGCAUGACUUGAGGGAGUCAGAGGCAAAUGGAACGGCCGGUGUAGGGGUGAAAUCCGUUGAUAUCGGCCGGAACACCAAAGGCGAAGGCAUUUUGCUGGGACUCUCCUGACCCUCAGAGACGAAAGCGUGGGUCGCGAAUGGGAUUAGAUACCCCAGUAGUCCACGCCCUAAACGAUGAGUGCUCGCUAUUUGAAGUAUCGACCCUUCAUGUGGCUUAGCUAACGCGUUAAGCACUCCGCCUGGGAAGUACGAGCGCAAGCUUAAAACUCAAAGGAAUAGACGGGGACUCGCACAAGCGGUGGAGCAUGUGGUUCAAUUCGACAGUAAACGAAAAACCUUACCAGGGUUUGACACUAUACCAAAAACCUUAAGAAACUAAGGUGUGUUCACAAGACGGGUAUAGCAGGUGCUGCAUGGUUGUCGUCAGCUCGUGCCUUGAGGUGUUCCGUUAAGUCGGGAAACGAGCGCAACCCCUAUUGCCAGUUACAAGUGUCUGGCGAGACUGCCUGCGUUAGUAGGAGGAAGGAGGGGAUGACGUCAAAUCAGCAUGGUCCUUUGAUACCCUGGGCUACACACGUGCUACAAUGGAAAGUACAAUGGGUCGCCAACCCGCAAGGGGGAGCUAAUCCCAUCAAAACUUUCCCCAGUUCAGAUCGAGGGCUGCAACUCGCCCUCGUGAAGUAGGAAUCGCUAGUAAUCGUGGAUCAGCAUGCCACGGUGAAUACGUUCUCGAGUCUUGUACUCAAAAUUAAAUGCGCUUGGCAGCGCAAAAGACUAAGUGGUUAAAAUCCACUCUCGCGUAAUCUGCGCGAGUAGCUUAAGGA
rnacentral:rRNA from 3 species